CGGGGGGCAGCAGUGGGGAAUAUUGGACAAUGGGCGAAAGCCUGAUCCAGCAAUGCCGCGUGAGUGAUGAAGGCCUUAGGGUUGUAAAGCUCUUUUACCAGGGAUGAUAAUGACAGUACCUGGAGAAUAAGCUCCGGCUAACUCCGUGCCAGCAGCCGCGGUAAUACGGAGGGAGCUAGCGUUGUUCGGAAUUACUGGGCGUAAAGCGUACGUAGGCGGUUAUUCAAGUCAGAGGUGAAAGCCUGGAGCUCAACUCCAGAACUGCCUUUGAAACUAGAUAGCUAGAAUCACGGAGAGGUGAGUGGAAUUCCGAGUGUAGAGGUGAAAUUCGUAGAUAUUCGGAAGAACACCAGUGGCGAAGGCGGCUCACUGGACGUGUAUUGACGCUGAGGUACGAAAGCGUGGGGAGCAAACAGGAUUAGAUACCCCUGUAGUC
rnacentral:rRNA from 1 species